AUUGAACGCUGGCGGCAUGCUUUACACAUGCAAGUCGAACGGCAGCACGGACUUCGGUCUGGUGGCGAGUGGCGAACGGGUGAGUAAUACAUCGGAACGUACCCAGUAAUGGGGGAUAACUAUCCGAAAGGAUAGCUAAUACCGCAUACGCCCUACGGGGGAAAGAGGGGGAUCGCAAGACCUCUUGUUAUUGGAGCGGCCGAUGGCUGAUUAGCUAGUUGGUGAGGUAAAGGCUCACCAAGGCGACGAUCAGUAGCGGGUCUUAGAGGACGAUCCGCCACACUGGAACUGAGACACGGUCCAGACUCCUACGGGAGGCAGCAGUGGGGAAUCUUGGACAAUGGGCGCAAGCCUGAUCCAGCAAUGCCGCGUGCGUGAAGAAGGCCUUCGGGUUGUAAAGCGCUUUUGUCAGGGAGCAAAUCCUUGUGGCUAAUACCCACCGGGGAUGAGAGUACCUGAAGAAUAAGGACCGGCUAACUACGUGCCAGCCGCCGCGGUAACAC
rnacentral:rRNA from 1 species